rnacentral:rRNA from 1 species
UGGGGAAUAUUGGACAAUGGGGGCAACCCUGAUCCAGCAAUGCCGCGUGUGUGAAGAAGGCCUUCGGGUUGUAAAGCACUUUAGGCUGGGAAGAAGGUGUUUUGUUUAAGAGAUGAGACAUUUGACUGUACUAGCAGAAUAAGCACCGGCUAACUCUGUGCCAGCAGCCGCGGUAAUACAGAGGGUGCAAGCGUUAAUCGGAGUUACUGGGCGUAAAGGGCGCGUAGGCGGGUUAUUAAGUUGGAUGUAAAAUCCCUGGGCUUAACCUAGGACUGUCAUCCGAAACUGAUGAUCUGGAGUACUGUAGAGGGUAGUGGAAUUUCCGGUGUAGCGGUGAAAUGCGUAGAGAUCGGAAGGAACACCAGUGGCGAAGGCGGCUACCUGGACAGAUACUGACGCUGAGGCGCGAGAGCGUGGGGAGCAAACAG